UUGACUGGCUUUACUCUCCAAAGUGGUCUGUUGAUCUGAGUGCUCAGUAUUUCUGUACAUAGCUCUUUUAUGUUCUGAUGUGUAUAGUGCACAAAUUAACUUUUCAUUCAGGACGUGUAUUUCUAGGCACAUCCCGGGUAUGGAAAUCCUUUGGGCUACAUGCUGGAAGUGAGGCCCAGUUUCUGUGGCACGCUGCCACAUCUCUUUUGAUUAGGAAGCUAACGGCUGGAUAACUUCUGAAAACAGGAAGAGAUGUGUGGGAAAGCUUCCAACACUGAUCGCAAAAUGGCUGCCGCUUCACCUCACUUGCAGCAGUCUGGAAGCCAACAAGAACAGGAAAAGCAUUUUGGUGAAGGACUUCAGCUGGCUGAGCACACCAAGUGGGAUGUUUCAUUGGGAAAGAAAAAGGGAUAAAGGAAAGGCUUCUCAAGACCUCUGAAUGGAGUUCAUAAAUUACUGGAUUCCUAACUGCUCCCACAGACUCAUCUGGACUUUAAGUGCAGCCAAGUCUCUAUCUGCACCACAGUGGAACUCACUCUUCUGAUAAAAUUUGGAAAGUACCUCACACUGAUAAAUUAAAAAUCCAUCCUCAUGGUUGCCCUUAAUAGUCAUAUGUUGUUUAAAUAUACUGUGCAAACUGUGACUCCUUAGAACAAUUACACAGAUCAGUUGCCUAUAUUUCUUUAUAAACAGUACUGAGAUUAAUUCGUUGGAAUGGCUUCCUUUGCUUUGCCUCUGAUGUCAUGAAAAUGCUAUUACUAGCCUUUCCUUGGACAGAAUAAACAAGCAUAUCUGAUAUGCAAGCUAAUAUAAUGUCCUUUAUUUACAUGAUUGUAAAUCCUGUUAGCUCUAAAACCAUUUUGAAUAUAGAAAAGAGCCAAAAAUGAGAAUAACAAAGGAGAGAAGUGACCUCAGUGAUUCUAUGCUGACGUAUCUUCGGCCUCAGAACUGGCAUGGGAAGGUUGUGUUAUCA